GGCUUGGAAGAUGGCGUCUGUCUUGGUUCGUCAGGGCAGACUGUUGGUGUUGAAAAACAGUCAUGUACCAACAUUUUCUGGGUUUUAUGCUAAUGCAUUCGGGGAGGCACUAUCUCAUUACCGAACAGUUGUGUGCUCAGCAUCAGGUGGUAUUUUGCCAAAACCCAAGAAGACCUCAUUUGGCCUUUUCCGGAUUGCUGUGGUUGUGAUCCCCUUCCUGUAUGUCGGAACUCUGAUCAGCAAGAACUUUGCUGCGCUGCUGGAAGAGCAUGACAUCUUCGUCCCUGAGGAUGAUAACGAUGACUGAAGGGUCUGUAUGCUCCAACAUAUGACCUGGAGCGUAAUGUGUCGCCUCUCAGACAAUGGGAAGACGUGUGACAGCUGAAAAGACUUGAGGAUCUUAAACUCAAAGCCUUUCUGGUUCUUCUCUCCCCAUCCAUUGUGAUGUGUGCCUGCCUGGAUACAGAGCUGUUUUAGAGAAGUGAUAGGACUAAUUCCUCCCUAGUGAUAAUGUUUACAUGCACAGAUAAGUCUUACUAAAUAAAAUAGAUCGGUGUGCAGAAGGAAACCCUUGGAUCAGUUGCUUUUGAUUUAGCCAGUGAUAUCUUCUACAUUGAUGGAAAUAUUUGUUCUGUUUUCAAUCAUUCUGGGGAUAUUGAUUUAUUUGGGAAGGCCUUAAAUCAGGUGACAGGCCUGCAUAGGUGUCCCUAUUUAUCUGGUUUCUGAUAUAGGUUAUCAAGAACCCUUGGUGCUUUUUAUUCCAACCUGUUGCAUUUGUUUUUGAUGAACUGCUCUAAUAAA